CGCAUAUACUCAUGUAUGAACUUAGCAAGUUCUGGCCAGGACCCUCUUUCUCCUGCAGACUUCCGCUCUUGCUAUGAUAAAGAAAAGUGGAUACUGGGUUGGAGGCAAGGCCCUGCUCAUUCCUAUGAAAGCUGCUCAGUGGCACAAGAAGCCAAAAAUGUUUGACUUCCCAGGCUAUACCCUGUACCCUGCCUCUCACCCGAUGUCAGCUGGGAUAGGCUCCAGACACCCCGCGACCCUCAAGAGUAUGAAGCGGUUAGAAGAUGAAUGAAUGAAUGAAUGAAUGAAAGAUAGUUUGAUGAGG